rnacentral:rRNA from 1 species
AUGAUGUGGUUUAAUUCGAUGCAACGACGAAAACCUUAACCCACCUUUGACAUGUACGGAAUCCUUAGUAGAUAGAGGAGUGCUCGAAAGAGAGCCGUAACACAGGUGCUGCAUGGCUGUCGUCAGCUCGUGUCGUGAGAUGUUGGGUUAAGUCCCGCAACGAGCGCAACCCUUGUCAUUAGUUGCUACGAAAGGGCACUCUAAUGAGACUGCCGGUGACAAACCCGGAGGAAGGUGGGGAUGACGUCAAGUCCUCAUGGCCCUUAUAGGUGGGGCUACACACGUCAUACAAUGGCUGGUACAAAGGGUUGCCAACCCGCGAGGGGGAGCCAAUCCCAUAAAGCCAGUCGUAGUCCGGAUCGCAGUCUGCAACUCGACUGCGUGAAGUCGGAAUCGCUAGUAAUCGUGGAUCAGCAUGUCACGGUGAAUACGUUCCCGGGUCUU